GCAAGUCGAGCGAACCCUUCGGGGUUAGCGGCGGACGGGUGAGUAACGCGUGGGAACAUACCCUUUGGUACGGAAUAGCCCCGGGAAACUGGGAGUAAUACCGUAUGUGCCCUUCGGGGGAAAGAUUUAUCGCCAAUGGAUUGGCCCGCGUUGGAUUAGGUAGUUGGUGGGGUAAUGGCCCACCAAGCCGACGAUCCAUAGCUGGUUUGAGAGGAUGAUC
rnacentral:rRNA from 1 species